UGGGCCUAAAGCAUCCGUAGCCGGUUUAGUAAGUCUUUUGUGAAAUCAACCAGCCUAACUGGUUGGAUUGCAAGGGAUACUGCUAGGCUAGGGGUAGGGAGACGUCAAGGGUAUUUCUGGGGUACCGGUGAAAUGGGAUAAUCCUAGAAGGACCACCUGUAGCGAAGGCGCUUGACGAGAACUAACCCGACGGUGAGGGAUGAAAGCUGGGGGAGCGACCCGGAUUAGAUACCCGGUUAGUCCCAGCUGUAAACGAUGCAAACUAGGUGUGACAUGAACUACGGGUUCAUGUCGUGCCGAAGGGAAGCCGUUAAGUUUGCCGCCUGAGGAGUAUGGUCGCAAGACUGAAACUUAAAGGAAUUGGCGGGGGAGCACAA
rnacentral:rRNA from 1 species